AUUGAACGCUGGCGGCAGGCCUAACACAUGCAAGUCGAGCGAGUGGCGGACGGGUGAGUAAUGUCUGGGGAACUGCCCGAUAGAGGGGGAUAACUACUGGAAACGGUAGCUAAUACCGCAUACUAUCGGAUGAACCCAUAUGGGAUUAGCUAGUAGGUGGGGUAAAGGCUCACCUAGGCGACGAUCUCUGGCUGGUCUGAGAGGAUGAGCAGCAACACUGGUAAUGAGACACGGCCCAGACUCCUACGGGAGGCAGCAGUGGGGAAUAGUGCACAAUGUGCGCAAGCCUGAUGCAGCCAUGCCGCGUGUAUGAAGAAGGCCUUAGGGUUGUAAAGUACUUUCAGCGGGUAGGCGUUACCCGCAGAAGAAGCACCGGCUAACUCCGUGCCAGCAGCCGCGGUAAUAC
rnacentral:rRNA from 1 species